rnacentral:rRNA from 1 species
GACGAACGCUGGCGGCGUGCCUAAUACAUGCAAGUUGAGCGCUGAAGGUUGGUACUUGUACCGACUGGAUGAGCAGCGAACGGGUGAGUAACGCGUGGGGAAUCUGCCUUUGAGCGGGGGACAACAUUUGGAAACGAAUGCUAAUACCGCAUAAAAACUUUAAACACAAGUUUUAAGUUUGAAAGAUGCAAUUGCAUCACUCAAAGAUGAUCCCGCGUUGUAUUAGCUAGUUGGUGAGGUAAAGGCUCACCAAGGCGAUGAUACAUAGCCGACCUGAGAGGGUGAUCGGCCACAUUGGGACUGAGACACGGCCCAAACUCCUACGGGAGGCAGCAGUAGGGAAUCUUCGGCAAUUGACGAAAGUCUGACCGAGCAACGCCGCGUGAGUGAAGAAGGUUUUCGGAUCGUAAAACUCUGUUGGUAGAGAAGAACGUUGGUGAGAGUGGAAAGCUCAUCAAGUGACGGUAACUACCCAGAAAGGGACGGCUAACUACGUG